rnacentral:rRNA from 1 species
UACGGAGGGUGCAAGCGUUAAUCGGAAUUACUGGGCGUAAAGCGUGCGCAGGCGGUUUGUUAAGUCUGCUGUGAAAUCCCCGAGCUCAACUUGGGAAUUGCAGUGGAUACUGGCAAGCUGGAGUACGGUAGAGGAAGGUGGAAUUCCCGGUGUAGCAGUGAAAUGCGUAGAGAUCGGGAGGAACACCAGUGGCGAAGGCGGCGAUCUGGGAAGAUACUGACGCUGAGGUGCGAAAGCGUGGGGAGCAAACAGG